rnacentral:ribozyme from 14 species
UUUAUAGUUUUCCUGAGUUCUUUUUUUUUUCUUUAUUUUUUUUUUUUCUUGGACCAGGUUGGCUCGAGUGAGUGCGAAUGAACGACGAUGAUGGGUUGAACGAUGGUGAUGAUCGAGGA